UCCCUACCACCCUGCUGCCUCUAACUAAACAAAACACGAGUUGUGCCUGUGAGUCAGAUAAAUGACAGGAAGGUCUGUCUAAAUACCAGCAUCCUCGGAAGGGCAGCUGUUCAGAAACAUUCUCAAAUCAUGAAGAUAAAUAGAACCGGAACACUGAUGAUUCCAUCAACUGAUGGUUCCUUUUAAUCAGAUCUUAAAGCAAAGACAGAAGCUGAAAACAUUUCUAGUAAAUAAAAAGCAAAGAACUCUGAAUGCUUAGCCGACCAGAACCCCGGAAGGAGCCCGCCUGGUACUGCCAGGCAUGACUGCCUUUAGUGGAUUUAACAAUAAAAAAGAAGAUGGCGCCAAAUGACCAAACUACAUGCGACUUUCCCUUCCCGCAAGAAAAGUGAAUAAAACUUUCCACUGGGGCUGGGGGAGGAGGCAAGGGACCAGUCCAGAGAGAUAAAAUGCUACUUAACAAAACAAUGUGGAUAGCAUUUAGGCCACAUGUAAAUUUCAUCCACAGAGCUUGCAAAUGGCAUGCAAUUUACUGCUCAGAGGAUGUAACCUAUUUGAGUCUAGAGAGCUAAUUAAUAACACAGUCUAAAAAGAACGCAGAGUUAAUCGCCAUCCAUCUCCUGGGCUAUUUUAACUUGUUUUUUUGACAGUUGCUGUUAAACAAAAUUCUAAAUAUUGUUAUAGCAGUCAGUUAUUAGUUACCUUAACAAGAUGCAAGUUUGGUGUUGGUCAAAGUUAAAUCCUUUUAAAAAAAAUACUUGAAAAAGUUGAAGCUGCUCUCCUCUUUAGAGCUUGUUCUGUGAUGGAUAAAAAUUGCAUCUAUAAAGGUUUCAAGUCAGGUCACAUUUAGAAAGUAAUAGUAAAUAACAGUAACUGGUAAACACAGUCCUAAGUCUUACUUGCAAUUGCUCAAGUUGAAACAAUUGAAUACAGUCUUCAAAAAUCAUACUCUCAUUUACAGAUAUGACUGGGCACAUGGGAUUUCAAUCAUGCUCCUUCAUUGCUGAGAAUCAUGGAAUUAAAAUGGUAAUAAUUUUUACCUCUCACUUUUCUCUUGCCUUUUUCUUCCUUUAAGCAUACCUGCACUAAGUAAUUUUUGCUUUUCACUGAUAACAAGAGAAGUUAGAGCCAGAUUAUUUUCUCUGGGACAACCUGUCUGUGAUUGCAAGAAUAUAGUUCAAAACAUCCUACAACUGGUAUAUGUGUAGCCCACCCUAAAUCCUGUCUCCCCUGAAGCUUGCUGAAGGAAAGCGUGAUGCCUCUCCAUUCUGACCUGGUAUGUAUGCUUCUGGAAUCCUGAAGCUGAGAAUGAACUAUAUCCACUUUGCAGUAAUGAAGCUUAAAAUGUCAAAGAUUCUGUAAGAGAUUUUUGAGUGGAGGAAGAUACUUGAUGAAUUUAUGUGAAGUCCCAAGGGCUAGAUGCUGGGACCCUAGAUUCCAGCCAGAGUGUACUUACUAAGGACAGGAGGGGUGAUGCUUGGGGUGUGAGGCCGGUUUUAUUGAGAGUCCUUCCAAAACUGAGUGGGCAGACCUGGAAAACGCAGGUUUCACCUUGGCCUCAGUCCCAAAGGUGCAUCUGUACCACUAGCUUUUGUCAGGAUGAAUGACGGUGCUGAGUAAUUUCAGGAAAGCAACUCAUCUGCCCAAAUAUGACUGCCAAAAUAUUCAGAAUAAUGUAGCUUAGCACUUCAAUGUAAAUUUUACUUUCUGACUUCACAAAUAAGGAAGAAGUUGCCUUUUGGACGCUCUAUCUUUUGCACUGGCUUUAAUACCCAGGAACGGCCACUGUCAGAUCCUCCAUUCCAUGCAGGAGCUGGAAGAGAUAUAAGGAAUGUAUUUCUUCUCUCUCUCUUCAUGUCACCACCCUCUCAUUUCCAGUUCACUUGUUAUUCUUAAAGAGUAAUGCCAAGUUUGUACACUAAAAAAAAAAAAAGAAUCGGACUAAAGAAAAGCCAAAUAAGUAAUAUAAUUAGUAAAUAUGCUAAUUCAGAUUAAAAUAUAAGUCUUUAAAAAGUUCAACUUGUUAUAUGUAAAAUUAUUUUAAUGACAUAUUGGAGAAAAAUCUGGCAUUAUGCUGCCAAGAAGGCAAUACAUUUAAGGCAAUCUUACAAAGUAUAUGAAAUCACAGACUGUAAUAUCCUGCAACUAUUUUAAUUUUAAAAGCUCAGUUUACAAAUAUAUACUAAUAUUUUUCUCACUUUUAAUCGCUCCCCCACUGUUUUAGCAUAAGAGCUAAAAUAACCUAAAACGGCCCCUAAAACACACACAGCGAGUCUGUUACACAGAUCUGGAAACCAAAAAAAAAUGUAUGAAGGAAGGAAUUUUCAAUAAUCUGAAACAGAGUAGCAAAAAAUGUGUGUGGUUUCUAGGUUUUCACUACUAAUAAAAAUUUUUCCUGGGAAAAAUUUUACUUUAAAGCAACUCUAAAUGAAAAUGCAUAUAAUUAAGGGAAAGACCGUUGCUUCAAACAGAUUGACUGUCUUUAACAAGUUUCUCUCUUUCUAGCUACUCAGAUAUGCUAUAUUUCCUAAUUAUCACCUUUUAAGGGCCAUCUGGGCCCAUUCCUCCCCAUCAGGGGGCAAUUCCAUUUGCAUUGUUCCUGGGCUUAGUCAUGAUCAAGUAGUCUGGUGGUAAAGUUCAUUAGAAAUUAGAACAGAAGCAUUCAACCCAACACAGUAAACCAAGUAUCUGAUACUCAGGCACCCGCAGGAGAGAUGAUAAGCAUGUCAGACAUAUUCUCACAUAACUAACAAGUCUUCAAUGUGCAUUUUAUCCAAUUGCUUAAAGAAACAUUCAGCCUGGUCCCUGACCAGGUAUGUAAUGAAGAUUUGAUUAAGUCUUCUCACACUGCAAAACAUUUCUCAGUUAAGGCAAUGUAAGUAUAGUCCCUUAUGUCUUUUGGUUCAAAAGUCUAUUAAAAACCCUUUAAUGGUUCCCUCAUUUAGCCUACCAUUCACAAGCAGUAUACUACUUCCUUCCUGUAGAGAACACACAAGAAUUAUCCUAAUUGUAUUUUCUGUGAAACAAACGCACAUUACAGGAAAAAGUGGAUCCAGCCCUCAGUCCGAUGCUGACUAGCUAUGGGUCCCUUCUGUCCUCACCAAGAGAUCAUCCUAUAGAUUCACAAGCUCUUUACAAACCUGUGUGUGUGCCAAAGGCAUGCCUGGCCCAUGGGUAUGCUAGAUAGUCCAGGCAGCUGCUCUUCAACAGAGCUGAUUGUAAAAGGUAUGGCUAAUUCAAGGCAGGCAUAUAAAAGGUUUCCCGCUUCAUACCUCAUAAGGCCUGAUACAUAAAACCCAGGAAAUCGUUACCUGCCUCAUCUUGCAAUUUCUGAGCCUGGCUUGCAAUGGCCAUCUUAAUCCGCAACACCAGCCUAUUGAGAUUGAGGAGGAGUGCUCCAUGCUGAGACCUACAGCCUCUUGGAGCUACACCUUAGUCUUGCAAAUGAAGACAGCUGCAGCGGGCCCUAAUCUAUGCAAGGCAGGUGUAGCCCCGGAGCUCUCUGCAAGUGACCCUUGGAGCUAUUAGGGCUGGGAAGUUAAGAAGUUACAGUUAUAAAAAGAACUAUUUCAUAGCCUCUCAUUAUCGAGGUUACUAAGCUUUCUAAAGGAACAAUGGCUUAUUUCCUCCCAUUUGUGCCUUGAUAUCCUCCCCUGCCCUUCUGAAAUUCCCUGUUUAGACAGUUCCUAAUUCUGACCCCGGCUGAGACACUUUAAAUUGGUGGCAUAGCUCGUCCCCAACUGAUGCUAUUCGUUCAAUGCUGUGUUGAAAAUUUGAAUCUGCGUCAAGUUUUCCAUUUUAAAAACCUAUCCUAAAAUCCACUAUCCAGACAGAAGUGGAGAUUUCAGGAGAAAGUAAUGCUUACAGAAUCAUCCCAAGAUUCAAUAAUGUAUAUAAAUGAUACUUUAGUACUGCUUAGUAAAUUAAUCUAAAGCAAAACAUUGCAUUACUGAAACUGAGCCAACAACAAUUCACUCAAAAAGCAGUCACUGAGUCUCUCUCUCUCUCUCUCUCUCUCUGUUGAAACAAAUACUUUUAUGUCUGAGGCCAGCUCCUGGCCUCGAGAGUGUCUCUCAAAGGACUGUGGAAACAGAACUCCAAAGAUGUUUCUGCUAUAGAAGGAAAUGGCUGUGUCACUGUGUUAUCAGCAAGGCCACCAGAUGCUCAGAGGGGAGGUGGUGCUGGUGCUGGGCCGAGCCGGUGAGCUCAGCACUAGGAGCUGCCGGCUCCUGCGAGUCAGGCCCAUGUCAGUCUAGGAGCAUAGUCCAAAUGGAGCAGCUAUAUAUGCCCUGGAAAAACUCAGAGCAUGUAGCCUGGAUUGAAAGAAGGUCUCCUCCCAGGGCUCUCACCCUUUUCUUAGCUCAGAGUGUCCCUGAAACAGCUCCACACAAAUUCCCGGGAACUGCCACACUGUCUUCUCCAGCAUAGCACAAAAGAGAAUAAAGGGGGAAAUUUGGUCCUGGAGUCAAAGGUGGGCUCUGAAUCUGUUUGACUGUAUAGCAGGAAUCACAGCACUCUUAUCACAGGGACGCAGGAGAAAAAUGUCUAUGAGAUUCUUUUUCUUUUUUUUGAAACAGGGUCUUGUUCUGUCGCCCAGGCUGGAGUGCAAUGGCGCAAUCUCCGCUCACUGCAACCUCCACCUCCCGGGUUCAAGCGAUUCUCGUUCCUCAGCCACCCGAGUAGCUGAGAUUACAGGCACACACCACCAAACCCAGCUAAUUUUUGUAUUUUUAGUAGAGGCGGGGUUUCACCAUGUUGGCCAGGCUGGUCUCGAACUCCUGACCUCAAGUGAUCCACCCACCUUGGCCUCCCAAAGUGCUGGGAUUACAGGCUUGAGCCACCGUGCCCGGCCUCUAAGAGGUUCUUGAGAGAGAAGGACUCAGCAAACCUUAAGGCCAUCCUCUUAUCCACUGGGAACAAACCCCUCACACCACCAACCAUCUAAAGGAGUGAAGUUUUGCUCCGAUGAUGCUUAAAUUAUAUCGGUUUCAGUAGAGGAGGUUGCUGAAACCCAAAAUCAUUGUAUGUGGUUAUAGUGAAACUUUGUCAGUCAAGUUCAUUUUUUUAAGUUCGAUUUUAAGGCUUACUUUAAAAACCCAGGAGAGGAUAUAUUAAUUUUGAAAUAAAGAUUAUAAAUAUGUUGAAACAUUGGCUUUUCUUGAAGAAUUAUUUUAAUUUUUUAUUAGUUCUACUGUAUUUUUUCUACCCUUCACUUCUGGAAUACACAUAAUAGGCUUUUUCC
rnacentral:lncRNA from 10 species